rnacentral:rRNA from 1 species
UUUAAUUGAAUAAAUUACAUGAGAGCACCGGUUCUCGUCCGAUCACCGAAGUUAAACAACGUUGAGCCUAGUGAGUACUUAGAUGAGUGACCGCUUGGGAAACCUAGGGUCUGUAAGCG